GCUGAGCUGGGAAAGAGACAGAAGGGGUAUAUGGAAAAAUACAGACUAGAACUUUCUCAAAUUAGGUGACAGAUAGAAAAAGAAUAAAAUAUCUUCAUAUGCUAUACGUAGACACGCAGGCUAUCAGAGGAGAAAGAGAACCUCAACACACUCAAACGAAGUCAGACAAGAGUAUAUGAAGGAUUGCUAGUGAUGGAGCUGUCUUUUCUCCAGAAACCAUUAAGGUGGGGUCAGAGGAUGAGAUAUUCAAGAUGCUGAAGAAAAAGAAGACCAUGCCAGUGUUUCAUAAACUUCCCUAAGCAACAGAAAAGAAUGGGAAGCUCUUUCAGUUCAGGCUGAUAGAAAACAACAAAAAAGUUCAAAUCUUACUGCAAAGCUGUAUUUUCCUAGAGGUUAUGGUAUUGCAAAAGGAUUGAGGCAUAGGUGAACAAACAGAACUGAAGAGUUCAGAUGUAUGUUUUUGCUCAAGUAAGUUUUUACCAAUGCCCACAUCAUUUAGUAGGGAAAAUAGUCUUUUCAAACAUGCAACUGAACAACUGAGCCUUCACAUAUAAGAGGAUGUAAACAUGUAGAGGAUAUUUACAUACAGGGGAUGUUCACAUGUAGAGGAUGUUCACAUGUAGAGGAUGUUCACAUGUAGAGGAUGUUCACAUAUAGAGGAUGUUCACAUGUAGAGGAUAUUCACAUGUAGAGGAUGUUCACAUGUUGAGGAUGAUGUUCACAUGUAGAGGAUGUUCACAUGUAGAGGAUGUUCACAUAUAGAGGAUGUUCACAUGUAGAGGAUGUUCACAUGUCCAGGAUGUUCACAUGUAGAGGAUGAUGUUCACAUGUAGAGGAUGUUCACAUAUAGAGGAUGUUCACAUGAAGAGGAUAUUCACAUGUAGAGGAUGUUCACAUGUAGAGGAUGUUCACAUGUAGAGGAUGAUGUUCACAUGUAGAGGAUGUUCACAUAUAGAGGAUGAUGUUCACUUGUGGGGAUGUUCACAUGUAACAGGAUAAAGUGUUGCCACAGAACUCACUCUGUCUACAUGGAUUAACUUGCUAUUAACCAUAGUUAUAAGUGAUAGAAUUUAAAGUUUUAAAUUAAUAAAAAAUGUUACUAAAUAUUCCUGAUUGAAAAUCUCUAAAUGUUUAAUUGGUAAUAAUGUUUAAAUAAGAGAAUAGUUUCUUUAAUAUAAUAUCAAAAGUAUAAACAACAAAAUAGAGACAUUAGAUUUCAUCAAAGGAUGCACAUGCUUCAAAAGAUAUCAAUAAGAAAAUCAAAUGUGAUCUACAAAAUGAGAGUGACUGCCACACAUUUCUAACAUGGUUCCAUGGACCUUGUUACCAUCUGAAAUUCUGUCUGAUCUUCAAAGUAUCAGGCCAACAAAUAAAGAAAAAUAAGUUAGCAAAUUAUCAACUGUGAUAGAAUUUCAGUAAUUAUAAUUUUUAUAACUCUAAAUUUUUCUUGAGAUAUUUUAUAAUACUCAAAAAUAAUUUCUAAAAAGGGAAAACAACCCUUUGACAAGCAUAUUUUAAAAUACUGUUAGCUUUCCAGUUUGUAUUCAUUUUUAUCUGAAUUAAUUUGUGUGAAAAUACUGUACAUAAAAGCUUAAAUAUAUACCUUAAUGUAAGUAUUGAUUUCAUAUUUCUUUUUUAAUUAUGCUGGAUAACAUUACCAAGUUAUUGAGAUUAGUUAAUUGCAAUCAGUAGCUAUAAUUUCCCAAGGGUCAACAUUGCCAUACAUUAUAACUUGCUCAUGCCCAGUAAGCUAACUUUAAUUGCACAAUUAUUCCAUAUCUAUAUAUCUUCUGCCAUGAGUGACACAAAAUAAGAAGACUCUACAGGUCCGACUCACAGAAAAGUGUGUAGUUAUUAGGCAUCAGGUACCUUGCAAAAAUAACAUGACUCAAUGUAACAUGAUUUACACAGAUUAAUUCAUCGAAUUUUUCUCUUAAUGCCUGUAUCUUCAGGCAAUUGAGAAGCUCAACCUGUGAUCUGUGAUCUCCAAGGAGUUUAGUUGUGGGUGUGGUGCCUGGAUGCUCUUGUCUGCUCAUCGGUUUUCCAAAUUCCAAGUGCUCAUAUUCUGUGCACUUUUUGCCAGUUUGCCACUUAGUGUCACUUGUAGCGUUAUAAGC